AUACCUAUUCAUUUUUAUAUGCACUGCGAGUAGCCCAGAAGUGGUAGAAACAAUGUCUUUUGUUUAUUGGAUUCUUACUGUGUCUCAAAUACUGUUCUAGGUGGUUUAUAUAUUCUUUGUUAAAUCAUUUUUGCUUUACAAAAGCCUUUAAUGUUAGUACUUUUAUUAAUCAUUUUACUAAUGGGGAAAAUGAGUUAAUUUACUUGCCCAAAGAUAUACAGUUAAGUAAGUGGCAGGGCUAGAUUUGGAGCUUGAACAAUUUACCCUCGUUGCAGGACUGCUCUUAACCAUUAUGGUAGUGUUCUCAGCCUGGGUUGAUUUUGACCCAGGAGACAUUUGGCAAUGUCUGGAAACAAUUCCACUGCAAAAACAUGCCAAACAUGCCAAAUUGUAAAGACCAUCGAUGCUAGGAAGAAACUGCAUCAACUAAUGAGCAAAAUAACCAGCUAAUAUCAUAAUGACAGGAUCAAAUUCACACAUAACAAUAUUAACCUUAAAUGUAAAUGGGCUAAAUGCUCCAGUUAAAAGACACAGACUGGCUAAUUGGAUAGAGUCAAAACCCAUCAGUG
rnacentral:lncRNA from 1 species